rnacentral:tRNA from 1 species
AUUGUUUUGGCAGAUUAGUGCAAUGAAUUUAGAAUUCAUAUAUGUAAUAUUUUACAAACAAUA